CCGUGACGUUUCGUCGAAAAAUCACAAGCGCGCAUGCCGUAGGUGUUUGCCUGGUUGCAAGAUCUUGCCGAUUUCAACGUUUUUCCACCUCUUCGGUAAGUACUUGACAUGCCUGGAUUACUGCAAUCAGCACGUUCUUAGCACUUUCUUCUUUGGCUCCCCACCGCGCGCAGGUUGGCGUACGCUGAACUGAACCCUCGCAGCAAGAAUGGCACGUUGGAGUAAGUUUUAUUUGUGACGCGAUUUGGUUUAUCUUCCGCAGAAACUGUUAAGCUCACAAUGCUGAUAUGUUGUUGUUGUCGGCCACGUGUGUAGAUUGACACCGCGAUCGUGGAACACAUGGCUGAUCUGCCUCGAAUAACUGCAAGCCGGCGCGUGCGUAGUGCCGUGGAGAACGAUCAGAAGUCCUGGACGACAAAGAAAAAAACUUCAAAGCUGCUUCUAGUAGUGGUGCCCCUGGUGUGCACCUUUACCCCAAAUGUCUGCACCUUUGCCUACCGCUGCCUCUGCGAGCCCU